rnacentral:rRNA from 1 species
GACGAACGCGGCGGCGUGCCUAAUACAUGCAAGUAGAACGCUGAAGGAGGAGCUUGCUCUUCUAGAUGAGUUGCGAACGGGUGAGUAACGCGUAGGUAACCUGCCUGGUAGCGGGGGAUAACUAUUGGAAACGAUAGCUAAUACCGCAUAACAGUAGAUGUUGCAUGACAUUUGCUUAAAAGGUGCAAUUGCAUCACUACCAGAUGGACCUGCGUUGUAUUAGCUAGUUGGUGGGGUAACGGCUCACCAAGGCAACGAUACAUAGCCGACCUGAGAGGGUGAUCGGCCACACUGGGACUGAGACACGGCCCAGACUCCUACGGGAGGCAGCAGUAGGGAAUCUUCGGCAAUGGACGGAAGUCUGACCGAGCAACGCCGCGUGAGUGAAGAAGGUUUUCGGAUCGUAAAGCUCUGUUGUAAGAGAAGAACGAGUGUGAGAGUGGAAAGUUCACACUGUGACGGUAUCUUACCAGAAAGGGACGGCUAACUACGUGCCAGCAGCCGCGGUAAUACGUAGGUCCCGAGCGUUGUCCGGAUUUAUUGGGCGUAAAGCGAGCGCAGGCGGUUAGAUAAGUCUGAAGUUAAAGGCUGUGGCUUAACCAUAGCACGCUUUGGAAACUGUUUAACUUGAGUGCAAGAGGGGAGAGUGGAAUUCCAUGUGUAGCGGUGAAAUGCGUAGAUAUAUGGAGGAACACCGGUGGCGAAAGCGGCUCUCUGGCUUGUAACUGACGCUGAGGCUCGAAAGCGUGGGGAGCAAACAGG